GCAUCUCCAUGGAGGGCUGCAUUCUUAGAUGACUGCACUAGCUAUUUCCAAUAGUGACGCUGUAAAUACAUUAAUAUACAUGUCCUGUGCCAAAGCUAAGCCAGAAAGUCUCCUGCUAGCCUGGUCAAGAGAGGUCAGGCCAAGCAGCACCAGGUACCACAGAACAGCAAGGUGGAGGAUUUGGAUAAACACAACACUUAAGUCACAAAACGAGAGAUCAUCCCAGGUAUCAGGCAAUCACCGAAUCAUAGAUAGUUAAGGCUGAAAAAGAUUUCCAAGAUCAUCGAGUCAAACUGCUCAAUCAGCACUGCCAAGCCCACCACUCAACCACAUCCCCAAGUGCCAUAUCUACGUGGUUUUUGAACACUUCCAGAAUGGUGCUUCCACCACUUCCCUGGGCAGCCUGC